rnacentral:rRNA from 1 species
GACGAACGCUGGCGGCGUGCUUAACACAUGCAAGUCGAACGAAGAGCGACGGAAGCUUGCUUCUAUCCAUCUUAGUGGCGGACGGGUGAGUAACGCGUAAUCAACCUUCCCUUCUGAGGGGGAUUACAGUAGGAAACGCCUGCUAAUACCGCAUACGAUCCGACCUUGGCAUCGAGUAUGGAUUAAAGGUGGCCUCUAUUUAUAAGCCAUCACUUCAGGUGGUGGUUGCGUCUGUUUGGCUAGUUGGAGGGGUAAGGGCCCACCAAGGCAAUGAUCAGUAGCCGGAAUGAGAGGAUGGGCGGCCAGAUUGAGACGGAGACACGGCCCAGACUGCUACGGGAGGGAGCAGUGGGGAAUCUUGCGCAAUGGACGAAAGUCUGACGGAGAAACGCCGCGUGAGGGAUGACGGCCGUCGGGUUGUAAAGCUCGGUUAAUCGGGACGAAAGGUCUUCUUGCGAAUAGUUAGAAGAAUUGACGGUACCGGAAAAGAAAGCCACGGCUAACUACGUG